rnacentral:rRNA from 1 species
GAAUCCGGGCGUGGGACCAUGUCAGCCGGUCAGUUUUACUGGGGGCGGUAUCCUCCCAAAGAGUAACGGAGGAGCGCGAAGGUUGGCUCAGCGCGGUUGGCAAUCGCGUGACGAGUGCAUUGGCAUAAGCCAGCCUAACUGUGAGACUGACAAGUCGAACAGAUACGAAAGUAGGCCAAAGUGAUCCGGCGGUUUAAUGUGGAAUUGCCGUCGCUUAACGGACAAAAGGUACGCUAGGGAUAACAGGCUGAUUUCAUCCAAGAGUUCAUAUCGACGAUGAAGUUUGGCACCUCGAUGUCGGCUCAUCGCAUCCUGGGGCUGGAGAAGGUCCCAAGGGUCCGGCUGUUCGCCGGUUAAAGCGGUACGCGAGCUGGGUUCAGAACGUCGCGAGACAGUUCGGUCCUCUAUCCUCUGUGGGCGCAGGAAAAUUGAGGGGUUUAAUUCCUAGUACGAGAGGACCGGAAUUAACGCACCUCUGGUGUUCCAGUUGUUCUGUCAAGAGCACCGCUGGGCAGCUAAGUGCGGAAGAG